CCAGACUCCUACGGGAGGCAGCAGUGGGGAAUUUUGCACAAUGGGGGAAACCCUGAUGCAGCGACGCCGCGUGAUUUAGAAGGCCUUCGGGUUGUAAAAAUCUUUUGUAUAGGAAGAAAAUGACAGUACUAUACGAAUAAGGUCCGGCUAAUUACGUGCCAGCAGCCGCGGUAAUACGUAAGGACCGAGCGUUGUCCGGAAUCAUUGGGCGUAAAGGGUACGUAGGCGGGUCAUUAAGUUAGAAGUCAAAGGCUAUAGCUCAACUAUAGUAAGCUUCUAAAACUGGAGACCUUGAGUAAUGGAAGGGAAAGUGGAAUUCCUAGUGUAGCGGUGGAAUGCGCAGAUAUUAGGAGGAAUACCGGUGGCGAAGGCGACUUUCUGGCCAUUAACUGACGCUGAGGUACGAAAGCGUGGGUAGCAAACAGGAUUAGAUACCCUGGUAGUCCACGCCGUAAACGAUGAGUGUUAGGUGUCUGGAGUAAAUCUGGGUGCCGCAGCUAACGCAUUAAACACUCCGCCUGGGGAGUACGCACGCAAGUGUGAAACUCAAAGGAAUUGACGGGGGCCCGCACAAG
rnacentral:rRNA from 1 species